UACGAAGGGGGCUAGUGUUGCUCGGAAUCACUGGGCGUAAAGCGCACGUAGGCGGAUUGCUAAGUCAGGGGUGAAAUCCUGGAGCUCAACUCCAGAACUGCCUUUGAUACUGGCGAUCUUGAGUCCGGGAGAGGUGAGUGGAACUGCGAGUGUAGAGGUGAAAUUCGUAGAUAUUCGCAAGAACACCAGUGGCGAAGGCGGCUCACUGGCCCGGUACUGACGCUGAGGCGCGAAAGCGUGGGGAGCAAACAGG
rnacentral:rRNA from 1 species